rnacentral:rRNA from 1 species
UGCUCUCUGGGUGGCGAGUGGCGGACGGGUGAGGAAUACAUCGGAAUCUACUCUGUCGUGGGGGAUAACGUAGGGAAACUUACGCUAAUACCGCAUACGACCUACGGGUGAAAGCAGGGGAUCUUCGGACCUUGCGCGAUUGAAUGAGCCGAUGUCGGAUUAGCUAGUUGGCGGGGUAAAGGCCCACCAAGGCGACGAUCCGUAGCUGGUCUGAGAGGAUGAUCAGCCACACUGGAACUGAGACACGGUCCAGACUCCUACGGGAGGCAGCAGUGGGGAAUAUUGGACAAUGGGCGCAAGCCUGAUCCAGCCAUACCGCGUGGGUGAAGAAGGCCUUCGGGUUGUAAAGCCCUUUUGUUGGGAAAGAAAUCCAGCUGGCUAAUACCUGGUUGGGAUGACGGUACCCAAAGAAUAAGCACCGGCUAACUU